GUGAUGAGAUGAUAGGUCUUGGGGUUGUGACUCAGGAGGUAAAAUCCAGUCUUCGGGGACAUCUAAAAAGUGGAGAGCAUGCACUUUACACGGGACUCCAUGAACAUUAUAAGGUGUUGAAGAUUGAAGCUGUGAACAGAGGGAAAAAAGCAAUUUUAGAAAAACAAUGUUUUGUGUGAAGUGACAUAAGGAAAGCAGGAGACAUUAAAAAGAGCCUGAAGUAACUAGAAUACUAACUUUAAAACGGGGCCCAGACAGUGGCACAGCGGUCAACACUGGUUCUACAAGAAAAA